UGAAUGGUAUAAAAGAGGCGCCCCCGCAUAGGGAAGACCAAACGAAUUCAAAGUAUCUCUUCUCAAAUUAUCAUUGUGCAAGAGGUUAAAACUCUGUUUCGUUGGCAAAUUAAAAUGAAUCUACUACACGGUUUGUUUUUGGUGCUAUUUAUCGUUGAAUUUUCGGAACUUCAAGGAAAUCAUGGCUUUUUCUCGCAAGCUCUUCUCAAGGGCGAAGUAAUUGAAAACAUGUCACAGGCAAAGUUUGUAGCUGGAAUCCAUGCCCCUGC